GAGGCCAUGCCUGUGUUAGAUUGGGGAAACCAAGUGGAGGGUGGGGAGGAGGGGCCUCUGAGAACUCCUAUCUGGUCCUCCCAUCCUAGACAUUACUAAUCGAUCAUGAUCCUUUCCCUCAGAAGUCCUUCACAGUACUCCAGGCGGUGCACUCAGGGAGAUGGAGGCCCAGAGAAGGACAGGCAUUUGCCACACAGGAAGGUGGCAGGACAAAGCCCUCGGUCUGCCUUUUGGGUCAGGCAAGGCUCUCUGUGGCCUCCCAGAGAGAGGCCAGAUAUGCAGAGGAGGAAGCGCUGUCCUUACUGAGGCAGGAGGCCAGCCGCACCGUGUAGCCCCAGUAGAGACCGGCUUUGGUGCGGGGGUCCUGCGAAGACACGACUUUGCCCCGGUAGGUCUUGCUUUCUGGAGAGGAAGCAGAGAGGCUGUGAAGAUGGGGUGAGGGACAAGGAGGUGGAAGGCGGCGGCUCCGAGCCCAAAUGCCGGCCAGGCUGGGAAGUUUCCAGAUACCUGGGAGCUGCUUCUGGUUCAGCUGCACUGUCACCCGAAGUCCAGGCUCCAAGUUCUUAUCAAUCUUCACCUCCUGGGGAGAAGCCCGGAGAAAUGGGUGCUAUUCCCCACAGGACCAGCAGGGGUCACUGCUCUCCCUUAUGUGGGUGAAUAGGGGGAGGAGGCUGGCCAGGUACCUAAGGGCUCCAGGUCAACCUCCGCCCCCUUUCUGUGGCACCUGCCAGUCCUGCUCACAAGAGACCAUUCCUGCAAAAUGACUACCCCAGGACACUAGGUGGAGACGGAUGCUCUGGGCCUGGCACAGAGUAGACAGUGUUUCAUGAGACGAAAUCCCGUCUCUGCUUUGAACAGAAGUGGCCAUGCCACUUCCUAGCUAUAGCAGUUUGAACCGGCCACGUAACCUCUCGGGGCCUCACUCUCUUCAUCUGUCAACUAGGAAACCCUCCAUAAACAACAGCGACUGUUUGAGUGCCCAGGGCCCCGCAUGAGGUAAAUGGACCACGGAUGUCCGCGUUUCAUGCCAAUUCCGAAUUCAGGAUACGGGGCUCUUUCUUUCCCUUUAGAGGUUUCUCAUGUUUCUUCCUUUCGUCUGGGCCUGACUCAUCCUGCUCUGCUUUUAGCCAGUCACUUCUGGUCUGCUCUGUUUUGCGGGGAGGGGUCCCACACAUGGAAGUGUUUGUCUCUGACUCCAGGAGACCUGAGCAGAGCCAGGUGGCCGAGGAGUGUGCCCAGCGUGGGUCUGUGUCCUCCCUGGAGCCGCCCCAGAGGGAUUCAGGGCUGGGGUGGGCUCGGUUUAAGAACGAGAACUAUCUCCUGUUCACUUCCUUUUCAAGAAGCCGUCCACUGGUUCCUGGCUUUAUCUAUUGAGCCCUGUUUCGGGACACUUCUCUGGCCGAAACCUGCCAUCGGGGGAAUUCCAGGCACAGAUGCCUGGGUCCAGGGCUCCCCACUCACAUGAGCCUCCCUGCCCUCCGUAGCCAGGGCGUGUCCCCAACUUGUGUCUUCACCCACCCUCCCAAGUCCUACCUUCUUCAUGCCGCAGUUGACAAAGGACCCGUGGCCUGGCCGGGUGGGCCGGUCCACCACGAUGCCUUCUCUGAACUCGGAUUCCUCAUCCUGACGCAUGUGGUGAGGGCUGUCCAGGGGGUUCAGAAGCCCUGUCAGGGCGGGGAAGGGGGUGCAAAAGCAUGCAGCGGUAUGGAGUUCCAAGUUCCAGGUCACACACCUGCUGCUUGCCGCCUUGCUUGGGGCAGCUCUCCCAAACGUGCCGCAGUUUCUCAGGAUCUGGGGGAUGAUCCAUGGGAAACGAGGGGCAGCCCCCACCUCCCCCAGCCUUACCUGCAAACUGGAGAUCCUGGUGCUUGGGGAAGAACGCUUUCCUUAGGUACCUAGUAAAGAACACAGACCUCAGAAAGUUCCCAGGGGAGGCCACGUCCUGCCUGACCUGCACCUUGACCACCCUCCCCACCUCACCACAUGCAGGCCGGUCUGCCCUUCACCCCCUUACUGCGGACACUCCAGGUACUGUAGGAUCCGGGCCAGCUGCACGCACGCCUGCCCCUUCUUGCCGACGCCCCUGAAUUCACCCUCCACAGUCCUGGAGAGAGAGAGAGGGCUUCCAGAGCCUACUGUGCUCCCUGCCAGAGCUCCUCCACCCAAUCUGACCUCUGAGGUCUCCUGCUUUGUGACUCUUCCCGCCAGAUUCACUGGGGGGCAUUUCAGACCUUUCCCAGCCCAGGCAAGUAGGCAGCGAUAAGAAGGAAGCAAAGCCAACCCUAGCAGCCCCUCCCGGCUCCCUGCGCCCUGGGGCCCUGUUGGCUGGUUCCUCACUUGGCAUCUUGGCCUUCUUCAUCGAACACCACAAUCUCAUCCACGCAGAAGAUGGUGCAGGCCCUGGCAAUCUGGCCAGCCAGGAGGAAUUUUGAGGUCAGCAAAAUAGAUCCAACUCCCGUUCCCAGGCCUCAAUCUCCCCCGGAGGAAGAUGGACCCUGUGGUCUCCAAGGCUCCUGUGAGCAGGGCACACCCCUGGGCAAGACUGGGGACUGGUUAGACACACUGGCCUAAGUUCUUAUGUUGGCUCCGCCCCUUACUGCCUCCGUUUCCAGCUGUCAAAUGGGGAUAAAUAAAGAGAACUAUUAUCGGCA